GCUACAGGACAGGAAGGCCAGGAGGCCAGGACUGAGUUGAAAAACAACAUCCUAGCUUUUUCCAGAAUUACGAGGAGGUCCUAACUGAGGAAUGAUUUAGAUAAUGAAGAAGAGGUGACAAAGGGGGAAAUUUUUACCACCAAAGAUGAAUGCGUUUUCACCAGGGGGAAGAUUUUGUUAUGAUCCCCGUGGGGAAACUGUAAACCAAGAUAACCAAAUUUACUGAACGACGCCAAAAUGAAGAAAUGACCAACAAGAUUCCACUGUUUGUAGCUUCUAUUUUAAUUUGUAUUGUUUCUGAUUUGUGUUAAUCAUGAAUUAACAGGCAAAUUAUAUUUCAAAUA